UGGGGAAUAUUGCACAAUGGAGGGAACUCUGAUGCAGCGACGCCGCGUGAACGAAGAAGGCUUUCGAGUCGUAAAGUUCUUUUAUAUGGGAAGAUAAUGACGGUACCAUAAGAAGAAGCCCCGGCUAACUACGUGCCAGCAGCCGCGGUAAUACGUAGGGGGCUAGCGUUGUCCGGAAUCACUGGGCGUAAAGGGUUCGCAGGCGGAAAUGCAAGUCAGGUGUAAAAGGCAGUAGCUUAACUACUGUAAGCAUUUGAAACUGCAUAUCUUGAGAAGAGUAGAGGUAACUGGAAUUUUUAGUGUAGCGGUGAAAUGCGUAGAUAUUAAAAAGAAUACCGGUGGCGAAGGCGACUUACUGGGCUCAUUCUGACGCUGAGGAACGAAAGCGUGGGUAGCAAACAGG
rnacentral:rRNA from 1 species